AUCGAGGCUCUAUCGAACCCUAUUCGCUAUGUCAACCUUCUGGAGCAAAGAUCUAAACAGCUGGCAGCCCUGACUCUGGAGGAUGGCGAGGAGGACACGCAGACUGAGGAGGAGACUGAAAGCUGUGCAGAGCGUAAGACUGAUCUGAAAUCAGCUCCACUAGAAAAUGGGCUUAGCCCGGUCUGUGGCCCACCGGGCCACACCCCCAUUGCCACCACACCCAAAGCUUCUGCAGCCAAUCAACAGGCAGCCACGACAGAUGCAGCCAAACCAGCAGCCAAGACUGAAGACCUGGUUUUAAGUGUUUUGAUAG